UACGGGGGGGGGCAAGCGUUGUUCGGAAUUACUGGGCGUAAAGGGCUCGUAGGCGGCCAACUAAGUCGGAUGUGAAAUCCCCAGGCUUAACUUGGGAACUGCAUCCGAUACUGGAUGGCUUGAAUCCGGGGGAGGGAUGCGGAAUUCCAGGUGUAGCGGUGAAAUGCGUAGAUAUCUGGAGGAACACCGGUGGCGAAGGCGGCAUCCUGGACCGGCAUUGACGCUGAUGAGCGAAAGCCAGGGGAGCAAAACGGG
rnacentral:rRNA from 1 species